rnacentral:rRNA from 1 species
AUUGAACGCUGGCGGCAGGCUUAACACAUGCAAGUCGAGCGGAGAUGAGGUGCUUGCACCUUAUCUUAGCGGCGGACGGGUGAGUAAUGCUUAGGAAUCUGCCUAUUAGUGGGGGACAACAUUCCGAAAGGAAUGCUAAUACCGCAUACGCCCUACGGGGGAAAGCAGGGGAUCUUCGGACCUCGCGCUAAUAGAUGAGCCUAAGUCGGAUUAGCUAGUUGGUGGGGUAAAGGCCUACCAAGGCGACGAUCUGUAGCGGGUCUGAGAGGAUGAUCCGCCACACUGGGACUGAGACACGGCCCAGACUCCUACGGGAGGCAGCAGUGGGGAAUAUUGGACAAUGGGCGAAAGCCUGAUCCAGCCAUGCCGCGUGUGUGAAGAAGGCCUUUUGGUUGUAAAGCACUUUAAGCGAGGAGGAGGCUACCUGGAUUAAUACUCUAGGAUAGUGGACGUUACUCGCAGAAUAAGCACCGGCUAACUCUGUGCCAGCAGCCGCAGUAAAAC